CAGUAGCCGCGGUAAUACGUAGGGUGCAAGCGUUAAUCGGAAUUACUGGGCGUAAAGCGUGCGCAGGCGGUUCGUUAAGACAGAUGUGAAAUCCCCGGGCUUAACCUGGGAACUGCAUUUGUGACUGGCGGGCUAGAGUAUGGCAGAGGGGGGUAGAAUUCCACGUGUAGCAGUGAAAUGCGUAGAGAUGUGGAGGAAUACCGAUGGCGAAGGCAGCCCCCUGGGCCAAUACUGACGCUCAUGCACGAAAGCGUGGGGAGCAAACAGGAUUAGAUACCCGCGUAGUCCCUGUCUCUUAUAA
rnacentral:rRNA from 1 species